ACCCGGAUAGCUCAGCUGCUUAGAGCAUGGCACUGAUCAUGUCAAGGUUGCAGGUUUGAUGGCACAGUUGCAGAUUCCUGCAUUGCAGGGGGUU